AGGUACUCACUGUUCAGGGAUCAUUUCUAUAGUAUGUUACUAGAGAAGUUCCUCUGAUCGUGUAGGGAUAGUGUCUCUUUUAAGG
rnacentral:snoRNA from 1 species